CGCAGCGUCUCUUCUCAGCAUGGCUGGGGAGGAGCGAUGUUGCACUUGGCGGGGAGCUGCAUGGCCUGCUUGGGGUCGAUGCCGAGGUAGGGCAGCAGGUCGGAGUUCUUGUAGGAGCAAAGGCACGGCAGGUCGGCCUGCUUCAACGCCGCGCAACAGGCCUCGCUCGGCUUCUCCUCCGGCUUCACCAUCGCGAUGCACGGCUUGCACGCCGCCAGCCCCUCCUGGGUCAUCUUGCACAGGCUCUGGUCCGCCGCCUUCGUGGUGGAUGCCGCCACCAUUAGGAGAACCAUCGCCAUUGCGACCACCACAGCCC
rnacentral:lncRNA from 1 species